AUAACAUGGUUUAUGUGCUCGUUCUGGGUAAAUAGAGUUUCUAGCAUUUAUGUUAGUUACUUGUUCCCCGGAUAGUUUAGUUACGUAGCCAAUUGUGGAACUUUCUUGCUAAAAUUUUUAAGAAUACUAUUUGGGUUAAACCAAUUAGUUCUUAUUAAUUAUAACGAUUAUCAAUUAACAAUCAAUUCAGAACUGGCACGGACUUGGGGAAUCCGACUGUCUAAUUAAAACAAAGCAUUGUGAUGGCCCUAGCGGGUGUUGACACAAUGUGAUUUCUGCCCAGUGCUCUGAAUGUCAAAGUGAAGAAAUUCAAGUAAGCGCGGGUCAACGGCGGGAGUAACUAUGACUCUCUUAAGGUAGCCAAAUGCCUCGUCAUCUAAUUAGUGACGCGCAUGAAUGGAUUAACGAGAUUCCUACUGUCCCUAUCUACUAUCUAGCGAAACCACAGCCAAGGGAACGGGCUUGGAAUAAUUAGCGGGGAAAGAAGACCCUUUUGAGCUUGACUCUAAUCUGGCAGUGUAAGGAGACAUAAGAGGUGUAGAAUAAGUGGGAGAUAUUAGACCUCGGUUUGGUAUCGUCAAUGAAAUACCACUACUCUUAUUGUUUCCUUACUUACUUGAUUAAAUGGAACGUGUAUCAUUUCCUAGCCAUUAUACGGAUAUAUUUAUUAUAUCUUAUGGUAUUGGGUUUUGAUGCAAGCUUCUUGAUCAAAGUAUCACGAGUUUGUUAUAUAAUCGCAAACAAAUUCUUUAAUAAAACGAUGCAUUUAUGU
rnacentral:rRNA from 1 species